rnacentral:rRNA from 1 species
UACGUAGGGGGCAAGCGUUGUCCGGAAUCAUUGGGCGUAAAGAGCGCGUAGGCGGUCCGGUAAGUCCGCUCUGAAAGUCCGGGGCUCAACCCCGGGAGGCGGGCGGAUACUGUCGGGCUAGAGUCCGGAAGAGGCGAGUGGAAUUCCUGGUGUAGCGGUGAAAUGCGCAGAUAUCAGGAGGAACACCAAUAGCGAAGGCAGCUCGCUGGGACGUUACUGACACUGAGGAGCGAAAGCGUGGGUAGCAAACAGG